AUUGAACGCUGGCGGCAUGCCUAACACAUGCAAGUCGAACGGAGUGGCGAACGGGUGAGUAAUGCCUCGGAAUGUGCCCAGUAGUGGGGGAUAACUACGCGAAAGCGUAGCUAAUACCGCAUACUAUUAGAGCGGCCUAGAUCGGAUUAGCUAGUUGGUGGGGUAACGGCUUACCAAGGCGACGAGCCGUAGCUGGUCUGAGAGGACGACCAGCCACACUGGAACUGAGACACGGCCCAGACUCCUACGGGAGGCAGCAGUGGGGAAUUUUGGACAAUGGGGGAAAGCCUGAUCCAGCCAUGCCGCGUGUGUGAAGAAGGCCUUCGGGUUGUAAAGCACUUUUGGUAGGGAAGCGGUACCUGCAGAAUAAGCACCGGCUAACUACGUGCCAGCAGCCGCGGUAAUUC
rnacentral:rRNA from 1 species